rnacentral:lncRNA from 12 species
AAUAAAGCACAAAAAAAUCAUCCAACAGUAAGAUAAGUAUAAGCCAGCUUACUAUGCCUCCCUGCCAAAACAUUUUUUACUUAGCUUCGGAUACUUUCUGGUUUCUGAAACAAGUCUUCAGCUUUGAUUACACAUAGCUAUUGAUUUUCCCAGUUCCAGAAACAAGACUGCUUUUUUAAUCCNCCGCGCCUCCAGCCAUGGAAAUCCCCCCCGGAGACCGUAACCCGUCAGGCAGAAGUAGGCAAGAAGGGAAAAUAAACCCAGGAGAAUGUGAAAGGGAGGCUUUCCAGCCCGGGCAGGGUUUGCGGCUGCAGCGCUGGCAGCGGUGCGGGGCACGCUGCAUGGAGCACCGCUGUCUCCCGCACUACUGCAUGGAGCACCCCUGCUCCCGCACUACUGCAUGGAGCACCGCUGUCUCCCGCACUACUGCAUGGAGCACCCCUGCUCCCGCACUACUGCAUGGAACACCGCUGUCUCCCGCACUACUGCAUGGAGCACCCCUGCUCCCGCACCGCUGCAUGGAGCACCGCUGCUCCCGCACCGCUGCUCCCGCACCACUGCAUGGAACACCGCUGCUUCCCCACCGCUGCUCCCGCACCACUGCUCCCGCACCGCUGCAUGGAGCACCGCUGGCUCCCGCACCGCUGGCUCCCGCACCGCUGGCUCCCGCACCGCUGACUCCCGCACCCCUGCUCCCGCACCGCUGGCUCCCGCACCCCUGCUCCCGCACCGCUGCUCCCGCGCUGUUACGGAGCGCCCGCCACCAGUUGCGCCUCGGAGCUGCAUGUGGAGUGCCAGGCCCCUGCCCCUGCCCUGCGGCCGUGCCCCUUCCCUCCGGCUCUGCCCGUGCCCCUGCCCCUGCCCCCCGGCCGUGCCCCUGCUCUCCGGCCGUGCCAGCUCCGCCGGGCCCUGCUGGCGCGGCAGACCUUCCUGCCCCUGCCCGGUAACAGGCAGAGAUAUCCAUUAAAAGGGCAUCACAGCGGGCGCACAGAAAUACUUAAAAGAACAAGCAGUUUUCAAAAGUAGAACCCUAAAGUGCAAACUACUUCCUUUGCUAUCAUCUGCAAAGUAGUGUUUCCUGGACUUUCCCCAUAUAGGAAAUAACAUUUCUUUCCCAUGGCACAGCCUGAUGUGAUCAUCAGUCUUAUGCUCUUGCCCACAACGUGGGAUACUGCAAUUAUUGCUCACGCAUGUGCUGGUAUCCAUAAACUGCAUGCUUUGCCUUGCUUAUGGGACCUCAGUAUGUCACCUUUCUCAACUGAAUGUCCCCAGGGUUAAAAUGUAUUUUCCCUAAAAUAUACAAGCAUAUUUUUUUUGUUACGGUUUAGUAAGUAUGCCAGCUUUACUGUUGUGUCUCAUUACAGUGAGAUAUUUCGAUAUAUAUUUUUGGGAAGCAAAAGUAGAAAUAUAAAAUACACACAUUAUAGACUAUCAGCAUCCUAACAUGGCAGACUAUAGCUGAUAGAUAUUUAUUUUGAUAUCACAUAUUCCAAGCAAUAUGCUCAGUUAUUGAAAGUUAACUUUCUUAAAGUUUAGCCUUUCCCUGACAUGCUUGCAAAACAACCAGGAUAAAGUGUAAAUACCUGACUAGGAGCCAAUUCUAUGUGAACUCCACACCCUUCAGAGCUAAUUCUUGUUUAAGAAGUCAUCUGUAAUUUUGCACCACUGUACAGCUUUAUUUUUGUCAUUGCUGGUGCAAAAGAGAAGUGUGAUGAAAGGUGCAUAAGCUUUCCUGUGAAAAAUAUUAUAAUUUUAUAGUAUUUCAGUAAUCUAAGGUGUUCUUUGGUGCAGCAUAGUCUUUCUUUAAACAUUUAUAUGGAAAAUGGGGGUGGGGGGAAGAUGUUUUACGUAGGAAAAGAGCUGUGUAAAAAAAUCAAUUUGGGGCAAACAAAGCUAUUAUUUUACUGUGUAAUAGUGAUAUUAGUCUCAAUACUUUUCGUCUAUGCAAACCUUGCAUAACUUUCCACAGUCCCCUCCUUGCUGUCCUGGGGGCAGAGUGAUCAAAAUACAAGGUAGAAUGACUUACCUCAAACUCCCAAGUGAGUCAGUAGUAGAAGAAAGGUUAUGACUCACUCUCAACAUACAAGCUUGUGUUUUUCCCUCUGAAACUGGAAACACAGCAAAGAGCUGUGGGAGGAGCAAUAAUUUAGCCAACCACACCCUGCUUCCAAAAUAUUUCAUUGGAUAAUAAAUGCCUAUGAAGAGCUGAUA